rnacentral:rRNA from 1 species
UUUGGAUUACUAAACAAAAUGUUGAAAUAUUGGAUUCCUAAACAUAAGAAUGCGAUUUAACACAAAACAAUUUUAGGACUUUUGAUUGAUAUAACGCCUGUGUUUCUUAUCUUUCGUUUGUCACAUUACCGUAAGGUAUUGGGUUAAGUCCCGCAACGAGCGCAACCCUCGUGUUUAGUUGUUAUCGUUGAGUUUGAAACCCUGAGUAGACUGCCGGUGACAAGACGGAGGAAGGUGAGGAUGACGUCAAGUCAUCAUGCCCCUUAUGCCUUGGGCGACACAGAUGCUACAAUGGCCGGGACAAAGGGUCGUGAUCCCGCGAGGGUGAGCUAACUCCAAAAACUCAUCCUCAGUUCAGAUUGUAGGCUGCAACUCGCCUACAUGAAGCCGGAAUCGCUAGUAAUUAACAAUCAGCCAUACUGCGGUGAAUUCAUUCCCGGGCCUUGUACACACCGCCCGUCACACUAUGGGAGUUGGCCAUGCCCAAAGUCGUUACCUUAACCGGAAGGGGGGAUGCCGAAGGCAGGGCUAGUGACUGGAGUGAAGUCGUAACAAGGUAGUCGUACUGGAAGGUGCGGCUG